CGGAGUCCGUCCCUCGCGCGGAUCCGCUUCUGCCGGUGGCGGGCGACACCUGUGGCCACCCCCGGGAGGAGAACGGAGUUGGCAGCUUGGCCUGCGGGCGUCCGGAAGCCAGACGAAAUGAAGAGAUGCUUUCAACGACAGUUACAGAUUGAAUAACAACAACAACAACAACAACAAAACCACUGGAAAUGUUCCAACAAUUCAAUGAAAUAUAAUUCUGAUCGAAGAAGAUCCUCAAGUAUUCUUAGCUGAUAAUGUAAGGCGAACUUUGCCGUCUGUUAUUCCCCCGCCCCCUUUAAAUAGCACAACGUGGCCUUGAACAAUGCUGGAAGGAUCGCUACAACUCGGGCUGUGGAGAACUGAUAUUAUGAGACCAGAAAAGCUCUCUGAAGCAUUUAUAGAGCUACGGAACAGAGGUGUGUGCCACCAAGCCCGACGGUCUGAGCUUAAGCCCUGGAACCCACACGGUGGAAUGAGGAAACCAACUCCCUCCAAGCUGUCCUCUGACCUCUGCAUGCAUACUGUGGCACACGCACACCCACUGAUCAACAAAGGAAAAAGCAGUUUAAUCACCUGCCAGGGGUGGUCCGGCAAGCCCCGAAAUGCUCUGAAUGAAGACAUAGACUCCAGCCGCAGAUGACAUCUUCUCGAUCCCGAUGACGUCAUCCUCGGCCAGCAUGGGGAUGUGGGUCCCUCCUAUGGUCCCAACCAUACUGCCAAAAAACACACUACACAACAUGAGGCCCCAGAACUCGGUAGCGAAAGUGAAGGCGAACAGAGACACCGUCAGUAAAAUGACGCAUAUGAGUUCGAUGUAGAUCUUGCGAAUGGGCUCCCUGUUGAGGACGAACCCUGCCCCGAUCCUUCCGAACACUUCUGCGAUGGCCAUGGUAGACAAUAAAAAUGCGGCUCGGUCAGGGUCAAUGCCUAGACUGAUACCCAAAGGGAUGAUGUACAGCGAAGGUGCAAAGAAGCCCAGGGUGGCGAAGAGGCCGAACAGCGCGUAACAGAUGAAGCUCUUCUCUUUCAAGACGGAGAAGUCCAGCAGCGGAGCUUUCUUCUGGCUGUGCUUGGGGCCCGCCACCAGCGUCUGCUGUUGCUCGGCCCGGGCUUCCUGUUCCGUCUUAGCUUCGCUAGGCACAUUUUUCGGUGAGGUAGUUAGUUCUACUCCUGAGUCGAUGGAGUCUAUUGAGGUCCGUGUUUUCUCGUUUUCAAGCAUAUACUGAACUUCUCUGCGGGGCUCCAGAGUGAUUGCUUUCGGCGACCCUGGCCCUUUGAUAAUAAUCGGUCUUAGCAAGGCGCCACAGACCGUGAUGUUUAGCUGCAGAAGACCCACGAAGAGGAGGCUGUAUCUCCAGCCGAUAUGCUCCUUCAGAGCCGUGAUGGCUUAAAGAGACAGAAGCAAAGAAAAAAAAUAAAAAUCCAAGGUCAAAAAAACAGACUCCAGAUACAGCAGGCAAUAGCCAGGAGAAAUGUGGAUUGAAAUUUCAGUAAUAAAUUCUGCUCAAAGUUAGGGCGAACGCAGACAUGCUAGACUAUAUGGGGAGGGGGUAAAUAAAUGUGUUCUUGCAUGCAGAGGUCAGAGGUCAA